rnacentral:rRNA from 1 species
GCAGUCGAACGAGAAAGUUUUCUUCGGAAAGCGAGUAGAGUGGCGCACGGGUGAGUAACGCGAUAGGUAAUCUACCCUUAUACCUGGGAUAACAUUGGGAAACUGGUGCUAAUACCGGAUACACUUCUUUGCUGCGGGGCGAAGGAGGAAAGGUGGCCUCUUCAUGAAAGCUACUGUAUAAGGAUGAGCCUGCGUACCAUUAGCUAGUAGGUAGGGUAACGGCCUACCUAGGCCACGAUGGUUAGCGGGUCUGAGAGGAUGAUCAGCCACACUGGAACUGGAACACGGACCAGACUCCUACGGGAGGCAGCAGUGAGGAAUAUUGCGCAAUGGGGGAAACCCUGACGCAGCGACGCCGCGUGAGUGAGGAAGGCCUUCGGGUCGUAAAGCUCUGUCAGAAGGGAAGAAGUGUUAUACGGUUAAUACCCGUAUAAUUUGACGGUACCUUCAGAGGAAGCACCGGCUAACUCCGUGCCAGCAGCCGCGGUAAUACGGAGGGUGCUAGCGUUGUUCGGAAUUACUGGGCGUAAAGGGCGCGUAGGCGGCUGGAUAAGUCAGAUGCGAAAGCCCACGGCUUAACUGUGGAAGUGCAUUUGAAACUGUCCGGCUUGAGUAUCGGAGGGGAGUGUGGAAUUCCCGGUGUAGAGGUGAAAUUCGUAGAGA